rnacentral:lncRNA from 1 species
CCCGACCGCUCGCCGAGGAAGCCUCGUCCGGGCCCCCUGGGAGCGGGGCGGCAGGCACUGUGGCGCCUCCUCGCGUUGGUCUUGCUGGUUCUCGGCCCCCGAAGCGGAGCGACGGAGACACAACUGUGGGAGCAUCUGGAUCCACAGCCCAGGUCCCCGAACUUCCCGCAACGCGAGGCCGCAGAGCACUGAAGGCUGCCAUUCCCGAGCAGGUCACGCUGGACGCCACCCUAAGCUGGGCCCAGAGGCUCCCGCCCAGGAGGGCUGCAGUGGGCGCAGACACCGCGCGCGUGGGGACGGGAGACCCAGCCUCCUCGGCCGUUCCGCGAGGAGGCGCGGCCGCUCAGAUUCGAUGCUGAGCCGAAUGCAGGAGAAAGGGCAAACCUCCCUCAAACCAGAAAAAGCCGUGUGAGCUUCAGGUUCUCAAAUACCCCACUCACCAAGACCCCACAUCUCCAAUCACCUCCUCCCACCCAAAUCACAUUCGGAGCCACAGGAAUUGCACGUGGGACGAGUUCUUGGGAAUGGAUCAAGCCAGUCUCUUCAUCUAACGGAGACAGCCCAGGGUGGCUCUGUCACACAGCCACUGUCUUGUGCGCAAGUUCUGAACUUGGCCUCAAAGAAGCCCCAGAGUAGAAAGAAGACAAAAUAAACCUCAGUUCUUCGAUUCUGGGCUGGAAGUGAGAUUUUCUUGAAUGGCAGCCAGUGUUUUGACUCUUAGGUAAGUGAGUGGGUAAAGACCAGUAAGGCCCACGCAGAAGAAACACUGAGGAAAGAAGACACAAAGUAACAAAUGGAAGGAAGCAGCCGACGCCUGAGGACAACAUGGCAAGAAGGAGCCUUUGGAUUCCGGACUGGCAUGGAAAGAGAGGUAGAUUCAGCUACCAUAUGCCAUUACUGUACUUAGUACAGUUGUCUCUGUAUCCGUGGGAUUGGUUCCCGGACUCUGGAUUUUCUAAGAUGUUCAAGUCUGUUACGUAAAAAUGAUUGUGACCUCCUUGAGGGUUCGGACCGACAUGCAUCUGCCAGUACCAUGCACCUAACAUAGUGCCAAGAGCAUAGCAGACCCAAAAAGGAGGAGCUGGAAUUAAAGAGGUCUCAAAUUCCUGACCUCAGGUGAUCCACCCGCCUCGGCCUCCCAAAGUGCUGGGAUUAGAGGCGUGAGCCACUACACCAAGCCUAAAAACUAUACCUGUAUUUUUAAAAAAUCUUGUAUACAUAAAUAAUUUUGUUUAUCCUUCAUAAAUUAAUUGUCCCUUUAGAUUUAAUAUUUGUUGGUUUUCUGAAUCCUAAAAUGAUGCCCUGUUAUAUUAAAAUGGAAAAAUACAGAAAUGUAAAAAAACUGAAAUAAAAUCUCAUAUAGUUCCACCG